GAUGAAGAACGUAGCGAAAUGCGAUACGUAAUGUGAAUUGCAGAAUUCAGUGAAUCAUCGAGUCUUUGAACGCACAUUGCGCCCCCUGGUAUUCCGUGGGGCAUGCCUGUCCGAGCGUCAUUGCUGCCCUCAAGCACGGCUUGUGUGUUGGGCCUCCGUCCUCCUCCCGGGGGACGGGCCCGAAAGGCAGCGGCGGCACCGCGUCCGGUCCUCGAGCGUAUGGGGCUUCGUCACCCGCUCUUGUAGGCCCGGCCGGCGCUUGCCGACACAUCAAUCUUUUUUCCAGGUUGACCUCGGAUCAGGUAGGGAUACCCGCUGAACUUAAGCAUAUCAAUAAGCGGAGGA
rnacentral:misc_RNA from 1 species